rnacentral:rRNA from 1 species
CCUACGGGUGGCAGCAGUGAGGAAUAUUGGUCAAUGGACGAGAGUCUGAACCAGCCAAGUAGCGUGAAGGAUGACUGCCCUAUGGGUUGUAAACUUCUUUUAUAUGGGAAUAAAAUGUUCCACGUGUGGGAUUUUGUAUGUACCAUAUGAAUAAGGAUCGGCUAACUCCGUGCCAGCAGCCGCGGUAAUACGGAGGAUCCGAGCGUUAACCGGAUUUAUUGGGUUUAAAGGGAGCGUAGGUGGAUUGUUAAGUCAGUUGUGAAAGUUUGCGGCUCAACCGUAAAAUUGCAGUUGAAACUGGCAGUCUUGAGUACAGUAGAGGUGGGCGGAAGUCGUGGUGUAGCGGUGAAAUGCUUAGAUAGCACGAAGAACUCCGAUUGCGAAAGCAGUUCACUGGACUGCAACUGACACUGAGGCUCGAAAGUGUGGGUAUCAAACAGGAUUAGAUACCCUUGUAGUC